rnacentral:rRNA from 1 species
GGCUCAGGAUGAACGCUGGCGGCGUGCUUAACACAUGCAAGUCGAACGAUGAAGCCCAGCUUGCUGGGUGGAUUAGUGGCGAACGGGUGAGUAACACGUGAGUAACCUGCCCUUAACUCUGGGAUAAGCCUGGGAAACUGGGUCUAAUACCGGAUAGGAGCGUCCACCGCAUGGUGGGUGUUGGAAAGAUUUAUCGGUUUUGGAUGGACUCGCGGCCUAUCAGCUUGUUGGUGAGGUAAUGGCUCACCAAGGCGACGACGGGUAGCCGGCCUGAGAGGGUGACCGGCCACACUGGGACUGAGACACGGCCCAGACUCCUACGGGAGGCAGCAGUGGGGAAUAUUGCACAAUGGGCGCAAGCCUGAUGCAGCGACGCCGCGUGAGGGAUGACGGCCUUCGGGUUGUAAACCUCUUUCAGUAGGGAAGAAGCGAAAGUGACGGUACC